rnacentral:lncRNA from 1 species
UUGCUAUUGACUCCAAUCAUAUUCUCGGUUAGAUUCGUCACUGAUAUUGUGGGACCUCGCACUGCCUUCCCUGGUGAUGGAUGAUCACAGAAGCUCCUUCCUUGCACACUGUCAGCGUCCAACCCCCGGCCCAGCCCACACUCGACAGCUUCGGACGUUCAUGCGCUCGUGGACCGGCCCAGCCAGGAGAACCCACCACUCACAUCCCAAAAGCCAGGCUGAUGGGAGGAGGGGGACUCUCCCUUUUAAGCUGCCCACGGCCCCCUUGGCUAGCCAAUGUGGGACUAAAGCCGGGGCGCUGACUACCGGCCUCUGACAUCCCACCCCCCUUGGGAAGCCCCCCAAGGCAGGCAUGGGCCAAACCGGGCUCCGAUACCAGAUGUCAGCGUCCAACCCCUGGCCCAGCCCACACUCGACAGCUUCGGACGUUCAUGCGCUCGUGGACCGGCCCAGCCAGGAGAGCCCACCACUCACAUCCCAAAAGCCAGGCUGAUGGGAGGAGGGGGACUCUCCCUUUUAAGCUGCCCACGGCCCCCUUGGCUAGCCGAUGUGGGACUAAAGCCGGGGCACUGACUACCAGCCCCUGACAUCCCACCCCCCUUGGGAAGCCCCCCAAGGCAAGCAUGGGCCAAACCGGGCUCUGAUACCAGAUGUCAGCGUCCAACCCCCGGCCCAGCCCACACUCGACAGCUUCAGACGUUCAUGCGCUCGUGGACCGGCCCAGCCAGGAGAGCCCACCACUCACAUCCCAAAAGCCAGGCUGAUGGGAGGAGGGGGACUCUCCCUUUUAAGCUGCCCACGGCCCCCUUGGCUAGUCGAUGUGGGACUAAAGCCGGGGCACUGACUACCAGCCCCUGACAUAUGGUAUCGGAGCCCGGUUUGGCCCAUGCCUGCCUUGGGGGGCUUCCCAAGGGGGGUGGGAUGUCAGGGGCCGGUAGUCAGUGUCCCGGUUUAGUCCCACAUCGGCUAGCCAAGGGGGCCGUGGGUAGCUUAAAAAGGGAGAGUCCCCCUCCUCCCAUCAGCCUGGCUUUUGGGAUGUGAGUGGUGGGCUCUCCUGGCUGGGCCGGUCCACGAGCGCAUGAACGUCCGAAGCUGUCGAGUGUGGGCUGGGCCGGGGGUUGGACGCUGACAUCUGGUAUCGGAGCCCGGUUUGGCCCAUGGCUGCCUUGGGGGGCUUCCCAAGGGGGGUGGGAUGUCAGGGGCCGGUAGUCAGCGCCCCGGCUUUAGUCCCACAUUGGCUAGCCAAGGGGGCCGUGGGCAGCUUAAAAGGGAGAGUCCCCCUCCUCCCAUCAGCCUGGCUUUUGGGAUGUGAGUGGUGGGCUCUCCUGACUGGGCCGGCCCACGAGCGCAUGAACGUCCGAAGCUGUCGAGUGUGGGCUGGGCCGGGGGUUGGACGCUGACAUCUGGUAUCGGAGCCCGGUUUGGCCCAUGCCUGCCUUGAGGGGCUUCCCAAGGGGGGUGGGAUGUCAGGGGCCGGUAGUCAGCGCCCCGGCUUUAGUCCCACAUUGGCUAGCCAAGGGGGCCGUGGGCAGCUUAAAAAGGGAGAGUCCCCCUCCUCCCAUCAGCCUGAC